UACGUAGGGUGCAAGCGUUGUCCGGAAUUAUUGGGCGUAAAGAGCUCGUAGGCGGUUCGUCGCGUCGGCUGUGAAAUCCCGAGGCUCAACCUCGGGUCUGCAGUCGAUACGGGCGGACUGGAGUUCGGCAGGGGAGACUGGAAUUCCUGGUGUAGCGGUGAAAUGCGCAGAUAUCAGGAGGAACACCAGUGGCGAAGGCGAGUCCCUGGACGAUACCUGACACUGAGGCACGAAAGCCAAGGGAGCAAACAGG
rnacentral:rRNA from 1 species